CCCUUCUUACACCACUACUGUCUAAUCAUUCUACACUGCACCAGCAUGUGCAGGGGUCGAGGCACAGAGUCAAGCUCAAGUUAUCUCAGGUGGUUGGGGCUCACCUCAAGGACUCAAAGGGACAGAGUGGCCACGUAAUAUAUUGUCCAAGUCAGGGCUCUUUGAGAAUGAAGAGGGCUACUGUUAGGAACCCAUUGGGAGAAAAAUGUGCUGGGACUGUCCUGGCCACAGAGACAGGUCAUUCUUUCCUCUUUCAUCCUUCUCUUCUUCUUCCAUUUGCUCCUCCACCAUCUCCUUUUAUUCUUGCCCUGCUACUUCCUAUUCACAGAGGAAGUAUAUAUGUCAUCUAUCUAUCUAUCUGAUCAUCUAUCUCUCUUCCAGAUCACCAGUCAAUAAGUUUCUUCACAAAUUUUUAGUAUUAGACCAAUCCAAUGCUGGGCUCACUUGCUAAACUUCUGGGUAAUUUUACAAUAAAAAAGAAUAGGUCUUAGGUUGUUUAGGACCUGGAUGAGACUGACUGUGGAGACAGAAACGCAAAAUACCAGUGGCUUAAAUAACUUAGAGAGGUGCUCCCCUUUCCCAUAAAGGUCUAAGCUAGUUCCCCUCUGCAAGGUUAUAAGGAGAUCGAGCUCCUCCUGUUUCACUGCUUCCCUCUCUGGGGUGCUCUUCGCUGCACACGGCCUGAGAUGACCCCAUUGCCUCCCUGCCAGUGGCGUAGAGGGCAGAGGUCUGAGCCUGUGCCCUUUAAUGAUAUGUUCUACUACCAUUCCUGCCCCUUCAUGUCACUUCCAUUCAUAUCUUAUUGGCCAGAAUGUGAUUCCUGAGCUUCCGCUAGCUGUAGGGAAGUCUGGGGACUAUUGUUUUUCCUCUGCAGAGUCAUAUGCAUAACUAAAACUUGGCAAUUCUAUUAAGAGAGAUCGGGAACAAAAGAGUAUUUGGGGUGAUCAGUGGUUUCUGCCACACUUAGCAAUGCAACGCUGGAGAAUGUAUUCCCAUCGAGGUAUGAAAUUCUUGCUGCUGUUGUCUUUUACUGAUGAUACUGCAUAUUUUGAAGUCUUCAAUUUACCAUCCUGUGAUAUAUAUUAUAGCAUUUAUAGAAGCAUUGUUACGUUAAUUCAAAAGUUCCAAUUAAGAAUGAUGCAAAUCUCCCUCUAGUUGGGAAAGUACUAUUUUAGUAGAUUACAUGAAAAGAUUACAAGCAGAUUACAAGAUACAUCAUUCAUUUCCUUCCCAUGACUUUUGAUUUACCCUAACUACAGAAUCUCAAGUUUUCAAGUGUCUAAUACUUUUGGGAGCUCUUUUCAUUUUGUAUAUCCUGCAUUACAGCUUGUAGUGUAAAGCCACUUUUCUCAAGGUCUAAAACUGUCUUAGUCUGAAUUUUUCUUCUUUCUAACCUUUCUAAGCAUUCCUUCACAUCGAGGAGAUGACAAAGCUCAUCAUGGCCAUUAAGAUGCUGAUGCAAUUAAAUUUUAUUCCACUUUCAGUGAUAGGGGCAUGAUUCCUUCUUGGAAUGGGAUCAUUUUCUUCAGGCCGACCACUUUCCUCAUUAAUUUGCAAGGCUCUUUUAGGAAAAGUAUCUUCUCAACUCUGAAUGAGGUGUAUCUCCAACUUUGACCAAAUCGUUGCCUUAAUGUUCUUCAGAUUAUGAUAUCCAUUUAAAAAAAUCCCUUGCCAUUGUCCCCAGAGGAGUCAAUAAAAAUGCUUCUGUGCUUUGUUUGUGGCCACUUAACUAAUAGGAGAGCUCCCCCUACCGAUUGGCAUCAGGGAACUGUGGAGGAGGGGCUAAUCUCGGGCCCCUGGCUCCAGGUAGGCUGGUGCACAGACCAGGAGGAAAAUCUAAAGGAAGCCUGUUUGACAUUGGCUUUUGAAAUACUUAAAAACAUCAGCAUUUGUCAGGUAGAAAGAUUUUCAUUUCAAAGUUCUAACAGGUUAUUAUUAUUCCAAGCAAUGGAGAGUUAAAAAAUGUUGAACAACUAUAAUAAUGCUCAUGUCUGAAUGUGGGGAGUGAUUAGAUUUUAUUGUUUGUUUGCAUAAAACCCUAUCACCUAGCUUUGUUUUGGAUUUGUUUAAGAGAUGUAGGCUAAUUAGACCAUGCACAUCACUUUGUUUUCUGAACAUUAAUUAAGAUUUCCUGGCCUUCCCAUGUUCCGGGGCCAGGUCACAUCCCACACGCUUCCUCUGGGGGUUCCGUGGGAGGAGAGCCUGUCUCACGCUCAACUGUCAGAUGAUCCCAUCACGGCAGGAAUGGAGUUUGGUGAAGUGGCGUUUGAAAGCUCGUUCCAGUUGUAAAAUGUUGGAUUCUAUUUUUAUUAAAUCACUUAAACGUUCAACAUAGUGAAAAAGAUUUACUUAACAUACAUUUCAGAAGCCAUUUUGAAUGCAUAUUUGGGGGGAAAAAUACAGCCCAGGACAUUUUGAAAACUAAAGUUAUUGUUCUUAAGGGACAAAACAAAUGAGUUAACGACUAGAAAUCCUAUCGUUUUCUUUGACCGUCGAGUUAACAUUUUAUAUUUGUAAUGUUAUGAAGAGGCUGCAUCCACCUGCUUCCGAUAUACAGGUAUAAAUACUCUUUAUUAUUUGGGAAUAUUAUAUAGAACCUGCAUAAAGUGGUAGAGGCUGUAGAGAAAUGUUUUAUUGGAAGAACUCCCAAGCAGAAGAACUAAACUGAGCAUCUGGGGAAGCAUAUUAUGUAGUAAGCUUGAGAAAAAUGCCAGACCUCUGGGAAGAAGGGCCAUUUUUUAGCUAACUCCCUUUUGUUUCUGAAUGUUUUUUUAAACAGAUGUAUUGAGCUAUAAUUUAUGAACCAUAAAAUUCUCCCAUUUAAAAUGUGCAGUUCAGGGAGUUCCCGUUGUGGUUCACCAGGUUAAGGACCCGAUGCUGUCUCUAUAAGAAUGUUGGUUCGAUCUCUGGCUUAGCUCAGUGAGUUCAGUAAGGAUCUAGCCUUACUGCAAGCUGCCGUGGAGGUUGCAGAUGCGGCUUGGAUCUUGUGUUGCUGUGGUUGUGGUGUGGGCCGUUGUCCACAGUUCUGAUUCAACCCCUAGCCUGGGAACUUCCAUAUGCCACAGGUGCGGCU
rnacentral:lncRNA from 1 species